rnacentral:lncRNA from 1 species
GUCCGUCGCGGGAGCUGAGCCCACGAGGCCCUGGAGCGCGGUGGCUGGGCCCGUAGCGCCACCUGGCGGCGGAUCAGGACCCCGCGCCCUUGCGUCCCUGGAAGUGGGAGAAGGGGCAGGGGGCUCCACCCUGCACCACCACCCCAGCGCGCUCCCGAGGCCGUUCCCCAAGGAUGCGCGGGCCCCAGGGAGAGCGACGCUGCCCGCGCGGCGCUUUCCUGGCCGCCUGGAGUCCGGGAACGGCGAAUCCCGCUCGCAGCGGACCGAGGCGAGGCGCAGCGGGACGGGAUCGGUGGGAACGGAAACAGCGGUCACCCGGAAGCCCAGAACCAGCGAGUACGCGGUGCAGUGUUCGCUUCCCAAACGUUGUGGGACAAACGCCUUUCAACUGUUUCUGGACGCCCGUGGGCCGGCGUUACCCUGUUGAGCAAAGCUUAAGUCACUGGGCAGAUACUUCCCUCCAGAGCGACUUCCUUUGCAAACAGACUCGUCAACUUUCCCGUUGUGCCGUGUGGCUAGGACGUGUCCCUGACACACCACGGAUCAUUGCCACCCAGCAAAAGAGAGCUGCUGUUUUUUUAUGGUGCACUUCCUAGCUGCAUACCUCCUCAGACGCUCCCUGGAGACAUCACUGCUAAAGGUCCGCCAAGGCUGACCUUGUUGUGGGCCAUUGACCUCAGCAUCCCACCUUGGUGUCUGGACCUCCCUCUGGCUCCUGCUCUCCUAUCUUCUCCGUGUCCUUGCAAUUCUCAGAGACACGUGCCAAACAGGUGUCACAGUCACUGAAACAGAGAAGAUGUAGUUAGACUAAAACCCUUUAAAAUAAGCUAAGUAGGUUUAAACAGCCUUCUUUUUUUCUUUAUUCUUAAAAAAAAGAAAAAGAAAAAAGCAUGGGAGCUUUGUGCAGUUUCCUCUCCCCUGCAGCACAUCAGAGCACUUCCUCUUCCCGAAGAGCCCCUUGAAUGAAAGUUUGAAAACGGUACCCCGGGGUGAAGCUGGUGUGGACAUCACCCGCCAGAGCUUCAGGGAAGAAAGCGGGCUGCUCUGCCCUGAACCUCCCUCUGGCCGUGGAAUUAAAAAUGAACCACAUUCCUAAUAAAUGUAAUCCCACAAACUCUGAAUGAACAGUGCUGAGGGCAGGCGCUGGCAUGAGCGAGCACUUUGGCGAGAGCCCUGGCUGCCUUCAGGGCGGCCAAGCCGCCCCUUCCUCCCCUGGAACACUGACUAUGCGUGUGGUGCCAUGCCCUUGCAAAGCCCCACAGGUCCCUUUUGUUUGGGCAAUUUGCAUUUGUUAGACAGUGUCUGAGCGUGUGUGGAAUCCAGCUCCUAAACACAUUUUUGGAGGCAUCAUUCAAGGGCAUGACAUUGCAAUGGGCUUUUGUGCUAAGAACCGUAAGUGAAGGGCAGUGGGCUACUCCUGACCUUUGCAAACAUUACGGUCAGGAGGUCACUUCUAUUUGAGAGAAUCCUUUUUUUUUUCUUUUUUUUUCCCGCUCAGCACUUGUGCCAGAACCAACUGUAUUACAGGCUGUCGAAUUGAGACUUGGCGGCUGACAGCCCGGAUCAAAGGCAGCUCAAGCCCAGAUCUCGGACCCCAGGCCAGCGGACACUUAGUGCGUCUCAGAAGCAAAGCGUCCCUGCUGCUUUCCAGCAGCUCAUGCCGACGCUGCUGCCUCAGCAUCCCCACCGGCUGAACCAUGGGCUGCUCCACCAUCGGUUCCAGAAAGAGCCACUUGUGAGCUAUUAAAGACAGCAAUGAAGUGCCUCAGUGACAGCAGUGAUUCAGGGAAAGAUGGAGGAACCAUCCGGGAAGGCGUUCUCCUUUUUCCACUGCGCUGAGUCCGCGAGCGCGGAGCACCCAGCCAUCCAGAGGCAGGCGGGGAAGGCCCCGGUGGGAGUGGGCGUGUGGGAGGGAUGGAGGUUUCCUUCAGGGAGAAGAGCAUAAAAAGAACAUUUCAUAAGUUCACAGGCAAUAGACGUCAACCAUGUUCUCAGAUGUUUACUGAGCCAAGAAUCCUAUAUCCAAGGAACACAGAAGGAGAGCCAGUUCCCAGUUUAGUAAUAAGAACACAGCUACUUGGUAGAAGUGAAAAACCACCAAGAGGAUGCUUUAAGGAUUAAAUAUGUCAAGUAGUUCCGUUUGGGCUCAUUUCAUCCAUUUUCUGACUCUCAAGCUCCUUGUCUAUAAUAAGCAAUUCUAACUAUAAUGCAAACACACAGGCGCAAGUGCACACACGCAUCCCCAUACGUGCACACCCAUCCAGUUAGCAUAGAGAGGUUGCACACUGGUCAUUUGGGAAAUGCAAAUUAAAACCACAAGGAGACACCACUUCACCCUCACUAGGAGGGCCUGGUGUCUAACUUCCAUGGAGAGAAGGGGGUGGGAAUAAGUAACUCUAUUGGGUAGGUUGGCAUCCAUUCUGAACUAAUUCUUGUAUAUGGUUUCUAAAAGCUUGAGCAAGUCUGCACAGGAC